UUGGAGUGGGGUUCCUCUACAUCGCUCUCCUGUGAAGGAGGCAGGCACAGCUCCCAGACAGCAAUUUGUGGCAGAUCCCUCUUUCCAGCAGUAUCGGGUGUUCUGGCAGAAAACUCAUUGGAAUCAUCUUAAAUAGGGUACCAUUGUAGAUGUGGCCACUGUCUGAGAAGGUGACAACUGAAAAGAAGCUGCAGUGAAGUGAGGGAGAGGGCCAUGCAGACACCUGGAGGAAGAGUCCUAUGAAAUGCACUGUUGGGUUUAUAGUCAAAGGUUAUUGAGAACAUUCACUAUGUUUCCAGCAAGACACGACAGAGAGAAAGAAGAAAAAGAACAAAAGAGCAAAGGAGAAGAGUGCAGAGAGAUGGAAAAAUGAUGAUUUAACUACAAAUAGCAAGAAUUCAAUGGAUAAUAUCAAAUGGCAAUCUAACCCUGUUAUUUAGAAACACAAAGGGAAACACCAAAAGGAACAAUGAAAAUAAUUUAAAAUGUUGUCCCUGUGGAAUAA